rnacentral:lncRNA from 1 species
AUUUGUGCUUUGAAGGGAUGAGUGGGCUGGAAGUUAGGGGUGAUUUAUGCCACAACAGGAAUGGUUAGGAGGCCUGCCAGUUGGCUUUGUCUCACAUGUGACACCUCCCUGGAGCAGGAUUGACACCAGCAAGAGUCACAUGAGCUGGAUUCCAGGUUAAAAGAAGAACACUCCUUCCCCCCGACAAGAAGACACAGUCGAUGCAAGGUGGGUAAAGCUAGACUGACAUUCAUAGGCUCACGUGGACCCGCAGUGAGGAGGCCCGGUACCUCCUGGAACUUACACUGGCUAGUCUAUGAGUCUCAAACACUAUGGAUGCUGGUCACCUCCCACGUGCUGAUGUCCAAGCAGCUCCAAAACUCAAGAGGUUGUGGGGCUGAAGUGACACAGAUCUUAGCAGGAUGAUGUGGAAGAGUGGGUCACACUUUCAAGAACUCUUCGGAAUGUUUUGUCACCGAAACUUGGACUGUCAGAGUAAAAG